GACGUAGGGUGCGAGCGUUGUCCGGAUUUAUUGGGCGUAAAGAGCUCGUAGGCGGCUCGUCGCGUCAGCUGUGAAAACCCGCAGCUUAACUGCGGGCUUGCAGCUGAUACGGGCGGGCUAGAGUUCGGUAGGGGAGACUGGAAUUCCUGGUGUAGCGGUGAAAUGCGCAGAUAUCAGGAGGAACACCGGUGGCGAAGGCGGGUCUCUGGGCCGAUACUGACGCUGAGGAGCGAAAGCGUGGGGAGCAAACAGG
rnacentral:rRNA from 1 species